CGCGCCGGCGGGCUGCAGCUGGGCACCAGCCUCUUCAGGGACACGGGCGGCCCCCGCCGCCAUCACCAGCACCUCCAGCCUGCCGGCGAGAGCAGCGACCACGACUACGCCCUGCCCAGCUCCCGGCCUCCCGGCCUGGAGGAGGAGUGGGCGGCCCCCGGCGGGAUCUGCCUCCACGUGGACCGGGAUCAGGUGUCGGUGGAGUUCUGCUCCAUCUGUGCUCGGCGAGCGGCGGCCUCCUUCAAAAUGUAGGGUCAAGUACCUGCUGCAAGUACUCGUGGGGUUCUCGCCCCUAGGGGCCUCGCGUCGUGGCGGAGGAAGCAGGCGAUGGUGCGGAGGAAAAGAAUAAAUACAGUGGUGAUGGGGUGGUAUCGGGGGAGAUGCAGAGGAGGUGGAACCUGGCGCUUAAGUGGCCGGGGUAACAAAACAAAACGAAACAAAACAAAACAAAAUCUCUUGAACGGCACAUUGGGAGCCAGAUGGCGGCCUUGGUCAAAGGUCCCGUAAAUCUGGCGCGUGGACGGUAGUGGUCUGAGCCUGUUUGGCCUAAGAGUCGUGCAAAGCUGCGUACAGCAGUGCGAUAAUUAUCGUGCAAACUGACACGCGCGUGUACACGCAGAGGUGCCGGCCAGCGCCCGUUUGCAGCACUUGGGUGAAAAGAUCAUGCCGACCUGACGCAUGAAGGUGUGCUCGGUUCCACUUCGCAGUUGCCAGUAAAGAUAACGCUGACUACCCGGUCUUGAGUCAGAUAAUGUCUAGCCUGCUUAUCCUGAGGAGCCGAAAAUGCUUGCUUAGAAAACCAAACCAAAAACUUCAUUAAGACAUCGUCACUGGACAGACUUAAGAAAAUAGUAAUGAUCGGCAAAAGAAAGCAUGCAUAUAAAAUUGUACUGCAUCUCAGUUAUACAUUACUAUUAAAACCUCUCUGACAGUUUCUCUUUUAGGUGCUUGCCCUGCCAGGCUCCGUUGUGUAGGGGUUAAAGAACAGUCGUUUUCCACCUCGCAACCUGUGGAUUCAGCUGUGUUGGGGCAGAAGAGACGGGACCAGCUGCUGGCCACAUUUCCUGCUUUAUUUUAAAAGGCGGGGAGGCAGUGUUUGCAAGGAGUUUGUGACAGUUGUAGGAGGCCGAGAACCGGUAACGGCUCGUCCUUUGACUUGUGGAGCUGU